UACGGGGGGGGCAAGCGUUGUUCGGAAUUACUGGGCGUAAAGGGCUCGUAGGCGGCCAACUAAGUCGGACGUGAAAUCCCCAGGCUCAACCUGGAACUGCGUCCGAUACUGGAUGGCUUGAAUUCGGGAGAGGGAUGCAGAAUUCCAGGUGUAGCGGUGAAAUGCGUAGAUAUCUGGAGGAAUACCGGUGGCGAAGCGGCAUCCUGGACCGACACUGACGCUGAGGAGCGAAAGCCAGGGGAGCAAACGGG
rnacentral:rRNA from 1 species